GAUUGCAUCUAAGAAGCCUAUCCAAGAUGGACGUGCCAUCGAAUGAGCCCAAAGAGCCCAUUGGACCGCAUGCCCAUCCAAACGCAUUCCAACAAGCAAAAAACCACUGGAUGGUCCACAAUCCAGAAUUCUCCAACCACAAAGAUCAUCAUCUUAGCCGUCCAAUGCAAAAUUUUCAUUCAACGGUCCAUAUUCAAAUUGCAACAAAAAACCGCUUCCUCUAUAAAAUGUGAUGCGGUUCUUCCUCCCAUACGCGCCCAAACACAAUUUCCAAAAAUUUUCUUGCUUCUGAUCAUGGCUCGUCAAGGGAAUCGCUCUCGCUUUGCCAAACGUUCAAAUAGCUGGAACGUCCUCCAUCGAUUCUUGCAGAUAAACGAUGCACUGAAAGGAUUGAAAGAGUGAUUACCUAUCUUUAAGCGCAAGAUUCAGAAUUCUAACAAAAGGUUUGCGAAGUUGAGGAGGAAAAUAAAUGAGUUGAAACCAAGGACACCAGGAGCCACGUACUUCAACUUGAGGUAAUCGAGGUGGUGUCUGUUCAGGAGAUGAAGCAGGUGGUUGACCUUAAGCGUAAUGGAUGGCUUAAGAAUUGGCACAAGGUGAUGGUGCCGAUUCAAAUCAGGCCUAAUGUGUACAAGAUGAAGGGGAACUAGGUUUGAAGGUGAUAAGAGACCAUCCAACUGGUGAAGGGUAAUUAGAUCGUAGAUGAAUUUGAAUAUGAAUCUGAAUACGAAAUAAGGAAAUAGAAUUUGUAGUAGAGAUAUUGAUACUUGAGAGUUUUAUCCCAUUUUAUAUGUAUCUAUCCCUUAGCAAUUAAAUCUUAAAUUUCCCCC